rnacentral:rRNA from 1 species
UACAGAGGGGGCAAGCGUUGUUCGGAAUUACUGGGCGUAAAGGGCGCGUAGGCGGCCUGUUAAGUCGGACGUGAAAUCCCUCGGCUCAACUCGGGAACUGCGUCCGAUACUGGCGGGCUUGAAUCCGGGAGAGGGAUGCGGAAUUCCAGGUGUAGCGGUGAAAUGCGUAGAUAUCUGGAGGAACACCGGUGGCGAAGGCGGCAUCCUGGACCGGUAUUGACGCUGAGGCGCGAAAGCUAGGGGAGCAAACGGG